CUUAAAUUUAGCUUGAAUUUUAAAGACUUUAGUCUUUAAGAUUUAGUGAUAAAUAGUCCUUUGUAAUCUAUAAAUAGAGCAUUUCCUGAAUACAUAAUAGUGACAGAAGCCAAGGAGAGAAUCUGAAUUUGUGUGGGAAUCCCAGUGUCAAGUGGAAUGCAGUUCCCUUCAGAGACAGGUAAAAUAAGAAAAGUUAAAUGACAUCGCAUUAUUCUGGACUACAAAGCAAUAAUGAAGAACAUGAAACUCAGAUAGUCUUGUGUAUACCUGAAGAGUUAUAAAUAUGUUCAAAUUUAACUCUCAGCUGGAUAUUAAUUAGCAAUUCUGUUUUUUCCUUUUUAUGGACAACAGUGUUUCUACACACUUUGCCUUCAAGCAAGUGCCUGUUCAAGCAGUACUGUAUACUUCUCAUCAAAGAAACAAGUUUAUUUUCAAAGUAUUGACACACUGUAUUUUGAGACCUUUGAAAAUCCUUGCUGUACUGAAGGCUGCUCAGCACAAACACAGAACCCUUGAAAAUCCAGCUGUAAUUUUAGCUAAGAAAUACUGCUGGCAAAGAGCAAAAAAUUUAGAAAUUUGGAAAGAACUGAAAAGAGUUGCAUAAGCAGUGCAGGUGAAGAUGUCUAUAUAUGUGUGUGUGUAUGCCUGGAAAGUGUUGUAUGAUGUUCCAGCCCUCAGAACAUCUUUCCUACAAAAAAGUUACAUCCUGCUUGAAAGCUUCCUUGGAAUUGCUGAGAUUCAUUGUAUUAUAAAAAUGCACAGUUUUGUUAGGAUGCAAGGAUUUCUGGCUGCACAUUAUUUUUGCUGUAAAGUGCACUGAGAUGAUAAGCUUCCAGCAACUCCGUCCAACUCAAUUAUCUGCAUCCUUCCAGGUGGAGACGUCAGGACUUUAUGCCAUUUUUGUAAUUUCACUAUUUUACAGCUCAAACUUCUACAUGGAGCCAGAGCAAUCUAAAAUUUUAAAUGUCUAUUAAAUUUCCCACCCCUCUGGCAACCAAUAUGGCAGCUGCUCUACGACAUCAAGAAAAAAUUGCCCUCUUGGAGAUGAACUUUUGGAAAAUGGACUACUCCUUUUA
rnacentral:lncRNA from 1 species